GUAAGGCUCCCAGUAGACGACUGGGUUGAUAGGCCGGAUCUGGAAGCACCGUGAGGUGUGGAGGUGACCGGUACUAAUAGGCCGAGGGCUUGUCCUC
rnacentral:rRNA from 1 species